CAUUGUUUGGAGCUGCUUUGCUGAGUCUUGGCCACACUGCAGGUGCUGGCACUGGACCUGCUGAUUGCAGUGGCCUUUUCCACACAGCCCUGGGGACAGCAACCCGGUGAGCAGGGCUGUGCAUGGGAGGGCAGCACAGGGAAGCAGGGCAGGAGGCUGCUCCUUUCAAUCCUUCCCCCCUGCCUUGCAGAUGGACAGCCCAACACAAAUGGCUCCAGAUGACACAAAGCCCUGGAGCUCAGCCCUCCACACUGGCGCCCUGCAAAGAAAGUGCUGGCACCACACCACCUGACUGCAGUGGCCGUGUCAACGUGGCAUUGCUGACACAGUGAGCCACAAAUGGCCAAGGAAACCAUUUUAGAGCAGCAACCCGGUGAGCAGGGCUGUGCAGGGGAGGGCAGCACCUCUUGUACUUCCCCUCUGCCUUGCAGAUGGACAGACCAACUCAAAUGGCACCAGAUGACCAAAACUGAUGCAGCUCAGCUCACCUCCAAACUGGUGUUCAUGUCCUACAAAGAAGGUGCUGGCACCAGACCUGCUGAUUGCAGUGGCCUUUCCACACAGCCCUGGGGACACAGGCAGCCCCAUGGCCAUGGAAACAGCUGGCACAGCAGCAACCCGCCCAACAGCUCUCAGCACCUUCACUACUGCACACAUCAGCGCCUCCAGGAACCACAUGGAUUGUGUGAAACACAGCUCUGAAGACGAGGACGGAACAAGAGGCCAACAGGGAUGGAUGGGCCCAAUUCAGAAACACCACAGACACCACAUCCAGAAGAGAAGGAAGCACCGGAACCCAGCGCUGCUGAGACCCGCAUGGAAGUUGAGGAGCCACGAAGACUGGCAGCCUUCCUGCCUCCACCCCCAGACGACCAGCGAGAAGCCAGCACACAAUUAAAGACUAAUUGAACAACUUUCAGAAUAAACUUUCUCAUUCCUUA